rnacentral:rRNA from 1 species
AGAGUUUGAUCCUGGCUCAGAACGAACGCUGGCAGCGUGGAUUAGGCAUGCAAGUCGAACGGGAAGCUCGGACUUCAACUUUUCGGAGGAGAAGAUCGAGUGGAUAGUGGCGGAAGGGUGAGUAACGCGUAGGUAAUCUACCCUCAAGUUUGGGAUAACAUCGCGAAAGCGGUGCUAAUACCGGAUGUGGUACUCCAAGGCAUCUUGGAGUUACUAAAGACGGGGAUCUUUCGGGACCUGUCGCUAGAGGAGGAGCCUGCGUACCAUCAGCUUGUUGGUGAGGUAAAAGCUCACCAAGGCUUACGGUUAGCCGGCCUAAGAGGGUGAUCGGCCACACUGGGACUGAGACACUGCCCAGACUCCUACGGGAGGCUGCAGUCGAGGAUCUUUUGCAAUGCGCGGAAGCGUGACAAAGCGACGCUGCGUGGAGGAUGAAGGCUUUCGGGUCGUAAACUCCUGUCAUUCGGGAAAAAUAAGUUGGGCAUUAAUACUGCCCGAAAUUGAUGGUACCGAAAGAGGAAGCCACGGCUAACUCUGUGCCAGCAGCCGCGGUAAUACAGAGGUGGCGAGCGUUGUUCGGAUUUACUGGGCGUAAAGGAUGCGUAGGUGGUUUUGUGUGUCGAAUGUGAAAGCCCAUCGCUUAACGAUGGAAGGUCAUUCGAAACUACAGGACUAGAGUACAGGAGAGGAGAGCGGAAUUCUUGGAGCAGCGGUGAAAUGCGUUGAUAUCAAGAAGAACACCGGUGGCGAAGGCGGCUCUCUGGAAUGAUACUGACACUGAGGCAUGAAAGCUGGGGGAGCAAACAGGAUUAGAUACCCUGGUAGUCCCAGCCCUAAACGGUGUCAACUUGGUGUUGGCGGUAUUGACCCCGCCAGUGCCGGAGCUAACGCGUUAAGUUGACCGCCUGGGGAGUACGACCGCAAGGUUAAAACUCAAAGAAAUUGACGGGGGCCCGCACAAGCGGAGGAGCAUGUGGCUUAAUUCGAUGCAACGCGAAGAACCUUACCAGGGCUUGACAUGUAACUGCUCAUCCUGUGAAAACAGGACUCUUUCGAAGGUGUUACACAGGUGCUGCACGGCUGUCGUCAGUUCGUGCCGUGAGGUGUUGGGUUAAGUCCCGCAACGAACGCAACCCCUUUGUUUAGUUGCUACUGGAUUUAUUCAGGCACUCUAGACAUACUGCCCGUACAAAGCGGGAGGAAGGUGGGGACGACGUCAAGUCAGUAUGGCCCUUACGCCCUGGGCUGCACACGUGCUACAAUGGUCGGUACAGAGGGAAGCAAUACCGCGAGGUGGAGCAAAUCCUAAAAACCGGCCCCAGUUCAGAUUGGAGUCUGCAACUCGACUCCAUGAAGUCGGAUUCGCUAGUAAUGCCGUAUCAGCUACGACGGCGUGAAUACGUUCCCGGGCCUUGUACACACCGCCCGUCACAUCAUGAAAGCCGUCUGCACCCGAAGUCGCUGAGCCAACCCGCAAGGGAGGCAGGUGCCGAAGGUGUGGGUGGUGAUUGGGAUGAAGUCGUAACAAGGUAACC